rnacentral:antisense_RNA from 1 species
ACUAAGAGGAACUGGACACCAGGAGCCUCAUACCAGGACUGCCCAGCCGAGCCACUCGAUUCCUGACCCACAUGGCCCUUGAGAUGACAAGUGAUUGCUGCUUAAAGUCACUGAGUUCUGGAGUAAUUUACAUCACGGCAAUAGGAGCAGUUCACCCAUCUCAGUUAAUCAAGCUCCGCGUCUUCUGCAGACUAAUCAAACCACCCAUGGAACCAAAGAAUGAGGAAAAGGCAGAUGGUAUCCCAGAAAGGUGUCUCUCCAACAGCCAGAUACUUUUCAUCAGAACAGAGGCUGGUAUGCCCCUGGCUCUGGGCUCCUCCACGCCCACAGGGCAGUACCACUGUCUCCAGUGCACACUGCACAGAAGCAGCUCUGGGUGCUUUGGUCGAUAACCCAUCUUCGUGGCUCUUGGAUAUUUCUUGUUAGUUUUAGGCUUCCAUUGUGACCUUUCUGAGUGCCCCUCAAUCUCAUUAACUCCCCUUUCAAGGCUCUAUCCCCAGAAAACAAGCUUCGGGUUGUGACCCUGCUCCCUCACAUUCAUUUCUGAUAC